rnacentral:rRNA from 1 species
UUUGGGUGCGUCUCCCUUCUCGGGAAACGCUCUCGACCACGCGAACCCCUUGACCUCAAAUCGGGUGAGAC